GACGAACGCUGGCGGCGUGCCUAACACAUGCAAGUCAAGGCGGUAGCAAUACCGACUGGCGCACGGGUGCGGAACACGUAGGUAAUUUGCCCUUUAGGGGAGAACAACUCAUCGAAAGGUGAGCUAAAUCUCCGUAAUGUUUUACUAUGGCAUCAUAGUUCAACCAAGUUUUCUAAGGGAUGAGCCUGCGUCUGAUUAGCUAGUUGGUGAGGUAACUGCUCACCAAGGCUACGAUCAGUAGCUGGUCUGAGAGGAUGAUCAGCCACAUUGGGACUGAGACACGGGCCCAGACUCCUACGGGAGGCAGCAGUGAGGAAUAUUGCUCAAUGG
rnacentral:rRNA from 1 species